UCCCUCCUACGGGACGCAGCAGUGGGGGAUAUUGCACAAUGGGGGGAACCCUGAUGCAGCGACGCCGCGUGGGUGAAGGAGCGUUUCGGCGCGUAAAGCCCUAUCGGCAGGGAAGAAGAUGACGGUACCUGACCAAGAAGCCCCGGCUAACUACGUGCCAGCAGCCGCGGUAAUACGUAGGGGGCAAGCGUUAUCCGGAUUUAUUGGGUUUAAAGGGUGCGUAGGCGGAAUGCCAAGUCAGCGGUAAAAUCGCGGGGCUCAACCUCGCUCCGCCGUUGAAACUGGCGUUCUUGAGUGGGCGAGAA
rnacentral:rRNA from 1 species